UCUGACGAAAGAACAUUUAAAUCUUUCGUUGCUUUUCCUUCCAUCCGACAAUUUAUGUGUCAUUUUGAAACAGGUGGCGCCGUUAUGGCUGCCUUUUCGAACUACUUUGUUAUUUAUGUCACGAACUCGAAUAGUCGGCUGGGAAUAACUGUCAUAAAUCUCUCAACAGAGUCACCCUGUAUGUUCGAUUUCGGACAAGAGUUUUAAUUACGAACAUCAAGAUUCGGUGAUUUUACAUUAAACGAGGCGGAAAUUAAAUCAAGACCAGCAUUUUUAACAAUCGAUGUCUCGAUUGCGGUCGGAAAUGAAAAAGUCACCGUUGCGUUGCCAUUGUCCUGUCAAUAAUCUCCACGCCUACUCGAAUAUUUUCAUUUUAACUAAUAAUGGGGGCUAUGGGGGUAAUUAGAUCAAUAGAAUGUCAUUGUCGUGUCGCUUUCCGCACAUAAAGACGUCGAAAGCCUUGGUGCAAAAAUCAGGUCAUUAAAUACCCACGGGUACGUUUCCGCAAAGACUGUUUAUAAACAACAGUAAAAUAAUGCAAACACGAUUUCGAAAUUUUCUAGGUCAAUUACUCACCUGGAUUUGUAACAAAAGCUCAGUCUUUCGGCGCCGGAUGUCGAUGAGGAUUUUUUGCUGCUCGGGGGAUAAAUCUGAGACGGGGAAACCCAAUUAUAAAACAAAAGAAAAACACAACUUUGAACACAGACCUGAUAUACUGAACGGUUCCUGUGUGUGUGCAAUUGUUCCCAUCAUAAAGAAAAUUCACUCCCUAAAGUCCUAACAACAUAACGAAGCUAAUUCGAACACAAAUAAACAUAUUUUCUAGUUAA